GCCCCGGUAGCUCAGUUGGUAAGAGCGUUGCCCCGGUAAGGCAAAGGUCGCGAGUUCAAAUCUCGCCCGGGGCU
rnacentral:tRNA from 1 species